GGGGAUUUAGCUCAGAGGUAGAGUGCUUGCCUAUCAAGCGCAAGGCCCUGGGUUCGAUCCCCAGCUCCG
rfam:Rattus norvegicus chromosome 15, whole genome shotgun sequence.